AUGGCAAAUCAGCUCUCUGGAGGAAGGACCAGGGUAAGAGGCCCGUGCAGAAGCAGAUUCAGUGUGGAUUUAAGCAAGUAAUUCUGGAGUCCCAGGGUUGGAAUUGUGAUUAAGGAAUGAACUGUCCCUGCCCUCAUGGAGUUUAAAGUCUGGAGAGAAAUCAGACAUUGAGCAGGCAUUUAUGUACCAGGAAGACAACACCUCCGUAUCUCUUCUGAGAACAUUCUGCAUGCAACAUUCCAUUUUUAGACUCUGUUUCCAGUGAACCCAGCUGAAGACAGUUAGUACCAGGAAUGGUCAUAGGAAAUAAACUCUAAGAGAAGAAUUUUUUGCUGACUCAG